GAGAUUAGACAGCAGUUAUAUGUGUUAGAGCUCAGUACCUACUCAGCCACUUUGGCCAAGGUACAACUAGUGGAGAGGAACCUUUGCAUUUUUUCUCCAGCAGUAGGGAACCUCAGGCUCCCAGUUUCAUACCACAGACCAAUACCCACUGCACAUAUUCAGCAGAAUAAGAGACCUAGGCCAGUGACUCAGGCUCAUCCUCAGAUUUCAGUAACAGGACGCGGUAGGACUUGCCAGCGCUGUGGUAAGGAUCAUGUGGACCGAGCCUGCUAUCGCCACAACAAUACUUGUCAUAUAUGUGUGAGUGCCCAGCACUACAUGAGAGAGUGUCCAAAGAAUCAGAACUAGCCCAGAUCUUUUAUCUAGGGCAAGGCUUACAACCUCACUCAACAAGAUGCAGAAACUAACCCAAACGUGAUACAUGGUACAUACAUUAUCUGUAAUCAUCUUGCACAUGUUUUGAUUGAUAU
rnacentral:lncRNA from 1 species